AACGUAGGUCACAAGCGUUGUCCGGAAUUACUGGGUGUAAAGGGAGCGCAGGCGGGAAGACAAGUUGGAAGUGAAAUCCAUGGGCUCAACCCAUGAACUGCUUUCAAAACUGUUUUUCUGGAGUAGUGCAGAGGUAGGCGGAAUUCCCGGUGUAGCGGUGGAAUGCGUAGAUAUCGGGAGGAACACCAGUGGCGAAGGCGGCCUACUGGGCACCAACUGACGCUGAGGCUCGAAAGUGUGGGUAGCAAACAGG
rnacentral:rRNA from 1 species